rnacentral:rRNA from 1 species
GAGUAUUUUAUACCGCAUAUCCCCUAGGGGGGAAAGCAGGGGUAUUUUGGGACCUUGCUCUAUUGGAGCGGCCGAUAUGGGAUUAGCUAGUUGGUGGGGUAACGGCUCCCCAAGGCGACGAUCUGUAGGUGGUUUGAGAGGACGCCCACCCACACUGGGUGUGAGACGCGCCCCAGUCUCCUAGGGGAGGCAGCAGGGGGGAAUUUUGGACAAUGGGGGAAACCCUGAUCCAGCCAUCCCGCGUGUGAAAUGAAGGCCUUCGGGUUGUAAAGCACUUUUGGCAGGAAAGAAACGUCUAGGGCUAAUCCCCCGAGAAACGGACGGUACCUGCAGAAUAACCCCCGGCUAAUUACGUCCCACCACCCGCGGUAAUCCGUAGGGUGCAAGCGUUAAUCGGAAUUACUGGGCGUAAAGCGUGCGCAGGCGGUUCGGAAAGAAAGAUGUGAAAUCCCAGAGCUUAACUUGGGAAUUCCAUUUUUAACUGCCGGGUUAGAGUGUGUCAGAGGGAGGUGGAAUUCCGGGUGUAGCAGUGAAAUGGGUAGAUUUGCGGAGGAACCCCGAUGGCGAAGCCACCCUCCUGGGAUAACACUGACGCUCAUGCACGAAACCGUGGGGACCAACCAGGAUUAGAUCCCCUGGUAGUCCACCCCUUAAACGAUUCAAUUACCUGUUGGGCCCUUCGGGCCUAGUAGCGCAGCUAACGCG